rnacentral:lncRNA from 1 species
GCGUUGUCCAGUUGUCCGUAUGAAGGGAGAUUUCCCCUUCCACCGAGUUACUACUGAGCGUGUUCCUUGUUGUUUUUUCCUUUUCCUACCAAAUUGAUGCAGGUGCUAUUAGUGAAAGGAUUGGAGACUGGUUCUAGCGGUGGUUGGUUUGUUUGAGGAAUUCCUAGUGCUCGUGAUUUGUAAAGGGUUUCAGCCAGGUUAGUGUAUAUUUCAUUUUGUUAUCUUAAUAUGCAAGUAUAUGUGCCUAUUUCAUUUGCUUGUAUCCAUCCUUUUUAGUACAUGGAUCGGUCUUUAUUUAUUCAGGUUCAGACAUUGCGCAACUGAAGACUGCGUAUACUAGUCGAAGGCACGAGUGAUGCACGUGUUCUUCACUCACUCAUCCAUUUAUUUGAGCAACAUUUAUUUUCAGAUGGGAGUAGUAUGUAUGCCAUUGAGUAUUAAAUCCCGUCCAAAGGAUUGGCAAGUUGCUGCUUCAAAACUUGGUAGAUACAAACGAUUAGUGCUCUAUACAAGCUACUCCCUCUGUUCCGAAAUAUAAGUCUUUAUAGAGAUUUCAUUAUGAAUCAUAUACAGAGCAAAAUGAGUGAAUCUACACUCUAAAAUGCAUCUAUAUACAUCCGUAUAUAGUUUAUAGUGGAAUGUCUACAAAGACUUAUAUUUAGGAACGGAUGGAGUAGUUUUUACGGAGUAGAAGGAAGGUUACUCUAGUCAUCGUUGUUUCCCGAUCAUAGCUACAAAAGAUCUUGAAUAGCAUAGUUUCACCAGUGGGCCCAUUUGGAGCUAUCAGGAUUCCAGAAAGGUCCUGGAGUCGUUUUGGCGCCUGCCCGUACAUAGUGAAUCUAAGAAAUGUCAACCAUUAGAUCUCUUGGGCAAGGUACUGAUGAAUGGUGGAUAUUCAUUUUAUGGAACAAAUCAAUGACUUGUAUUUGCUCUCGAGUCUGUGCGGACUGCUAAUCCAAAUUCAAAUUUUUUUUUACUAUAGUAGUAGGGAAAUGUAGCGCUCUAUAAAGUUUUUGGUGCCUCCAUCUGAAAGAGAUAAAUUUAUAGACAUGAGUGUGGAUUUGAUAUUAAAAAUUUCUCUACAAAAGUACCUACUUUCCUGCCAUGAUUUACCAUCUAGCUAAUUGUUUCAUAGGAGUUCAAUACUGAGGUAACAUUUUUCUCUCUCAAACUUGUGCUUGAAUGUACCAAUGAAGAUGCUCUUCACAACUCUAAUUCUUGGUGCCAAUGGCUAUUCUUCCAUUUACUAUGAUUAAUUGCUCUUUGUGCUAAUUCUUGAUGUUAAAAGACAACGAACUUUGACUAAUGAACAUGUAGUUGGAAUGAACAAGUACCCUUGUUUAUCUCCGUUGAUCGAUUGAUGUGAGAUCAUUUAGUUCACUCGUCAUCAUGCACAUAUACUUCAGAUAGAGAAUCUCUUUCUGUCUCUUCUCUGUUUGCUACAAAUAUAGACUGAAAGUGGAGUACUGCUUCUAGAGUUUAAAGAUUUGAGCUUGCAAAAGUGUUAGUUCUCUGAUAUGAGGUUUAUUAUUUAUGUUCUGUGAAAGUUGUUGUCUGAAUGUGAUAUACCCAUAUAUUAUAUAAAGAACAAGUUCACAUAGGUACCAAAAAUUACGCUUAAACUUUCAUGCCAUCUAAUAGAUAAUAGUUUCUGUAUACUUUUCAACUUCGCAAGCAUUGCAGUAACUAUAUUGUCACAAGAAAUUAUAUAUUUUGAGAAGCUUCUACAAGAUCUUGAUAUCACUUGUGUUCUAUCGCUUGAUCCUGUGCUUGAAGGUGAUUCCCUAAAUUGCACAACUCCGAAAACUUGUACGUGAUUUGAUUUUCUUCUGGUGGUCACACUUACAUCCUUCAAGGAUCAUCCUUAUCAGUUAUUACAGUAAAUUUGUCGAUUUAGCGUUUUAAUUGCUAUUUUCACUAUUAGGAGUAUCUCCUGGAAAAAAAACUUCUACAGACCAACAUGACUAAUGUAUGUGUGUUGUGUUAGAUAUAUAUUUGGUUAUGAGUUACUACUUUUGUGGUCAUGGGGAAAUUAAUCAUUCCAUGAUCUCAACAUUGUAGUAUUUUGCGCAAAUUUGUGAAGUUCAACGUCUUAGUGUCAUGGCUCAGGACUAAAUUUUCUUGAGUUAUCACAUCAAAACAUGAAAUGUCAAAAUCAAACUACUUUUGCUUACUUGAUUCUUUUGAGCGUGCAUAUGAAACAAUGGUUAUCUAUGUUGCUUGCCUAUGCUAUCAGCUACUAUGAUCUAUCUUUCAUACUUAUAUACACAUUAUGCUUGGACAUGUGUUGUUUGUGCGAAAGGAAACAUCUACUCCCUCUGUUCCUAAAUAUAAGUCUUUUUAGUGGUUUCAAAUGGACUACCACAUACGGAUGUAUAUAGACAUAUUUUAGAGUGUAGAUUCACUCAUUUUGCUCCGUAUGUAGUCACUUGUUGAAAUCACUAGAAAGACCUAUAUUUAGGAACGGAGGGAGUAGUAUUUUGUAAUGCUUGAACUCAGGGUAGUCACUACUUAAAUAUUUCUCCAUGUAAUCGAGUAAGAACAGUUCUUCAGAACAUAUUAUCGUUUCCAUCUUCAGACAUCUUGAUAGGAAGCACAAGGGAAUGUUUGCAGUUUCAAUUUAUAUUGUACGUAAAGGAUUGUAGAUAUGCUCUCGUCCAGUGAAAACUUCUAAAUGAUCUAUGCACUAUGGCAGUGCCGCGGUGGAUACUUCUAAAUGACUGCACACAUGUUUUAUUAAGUCUUAUCAGUAUAGGGAGUUCAAUAAUCUUUUGGUGCUAAACAAGUGGAUGCUACAACUGAAUACUAAAUCAGUAAAACACUGUAGGAGUUUUACAAGAAAGCUUUGGGUAAAAAGAUUUUUGUGUUGUGCUGUUUAUUCCCAUUGGUCGAUCGAUGUGAGAUCAUCUAGUUCAACUAUCAUCAUGCACAUAUAUUGUUACAUGGAAGAAAAAUAACUAGCUAGAGAACUUAUUUAUGUCUCCUUUCAUUUUGCUGCUAAGACAGACUGAAAGUGGAGUACUCUUCUAGAGUUUAAUUGUUAUUACAUGCUGCUUUUAUAAGGUUGGGGUCUUCAAUCUAGUUUUUACUCAAUAAGUUACUGUUUCUUAAGAAUAACAUGAAGCAUGGAUUCUUAUAUGUUCCAUGUAUUAUGUCAGGGCAAGUAAUUAUCAGCUGAGCAAAGGCUACAACAUGUUAGGAGGAGAAGUUUGAAUUGAGGCAGAGAGUACACUUGGUAAGUCAUAUAUAUCCAACCUGAACUUAUUUACUCAUUUAUUAUUUUUGUUCUAGUCUGAGUCCAAAAAGAUGGUUUGACAAACGGGGGUGACAUUCUGUACACACGUGCGCAUCUACCAUUCAUGCUUGUGAAGCAUUUAAAAUAAAAUAAAAUUGAAUAUGGCCAAAUUUGGGUUCCAAGUUUUGCCAUGCUGUCAUGACUUCGUAUUAGUUUGCCCCCUUCAACAUGUAAAACUAUGAACCUGACCAUAUUUUAUUUGGAACAUUUAGAUGAUGUGUCAGAAGAAAAACAAAAGGCAACAACGAGAAAGAAAACAAACGGCAAUCUACUUACAUCUGACGUGUAAAUUCUAAUGUGCCAAAAAUUUCUCUUUUCAGGAAAUAGAAUGGAAAAAGGAAGAGGAGACAAUGCUGAAGCACAAGAGCGAGAGGCUAGCGGAAGUUAAAGCAAUAAACUAUAAGCAUUUUGAAUGAUUAGGGCCUCGCGUUGUUGGGAACAUUACAGCCAUGGGGAAAGCUAAUUUGUGUUGCUAGUUUAGCAUAGAAGCCACUAUAUGCUCAUUUUGGCCAUGUGUCGCAUCCAAAACAUAUGUAAUUUUCCUUUUGUUGCACAACACCCUUAUAUAUGGGCGUUUCUAGAAACCUAUGUAUUUGGUCGUUAAUUUUAUUGAAUGAAGGUAAGUUUUACUAUGAGGCCCAUAUGUGAAUUAUGAAAUUGUGUCAUUUCUUUUGAUUGCC